GUGCUUGCUUUGGCAGCACAUGUACUAAAAUUGGAAUGAUACAGAGAAGAUUAGCGUGGCCCCUGCACAAGGAUGACAUGCAGAUUCAUGAAGCCUUCCAUAUUAAG